ACCCUACGGGAGGCAGCAGUGGGGAAUAUUGCACAAUGGGCGCAAGCCUGAUGCAGCCAUGCCGCGUGUAAUGAAGAAGGCCUUCGGUUGUAAAGUACUUUCAGUAGUGAGGAAGGCGGUGUGUUAAUAGCGCAUUCGUUUGACGUUAGCUGCAGAAGAAAGCACCGGCUAACUCCGUGCCAGCAGCCGCGGUAAUACGGAGGGGUGCGAGCGUUAAUCGGAAAUUACUGGGGCGUAAAGCGCAUGCAGGUGGUUUUGUUAAGUCAGAUGUGAAAAGCCCGGGGGCUCAACCUCGGAAUUGCAUUUGAAACUGGCAGACUAGAGUACUGUAGAGGGGGUAGAAUUUCAGGUGUAGCGGUGAAAUGCGUAGAGAUCUGAAGGAAUACCGGUGGCGAAGGCGGCCCCCUGGACAGAUACUGACACUCAGAUGCGAAAGCGUGGGGAGCAAACAGGAUUAGAUA
rnacentral:rRNA from 1 species